UAUAUUUUGUAACAAUAUCAUUUGUAGGAAAUUGGAUUAUAAGUAACUGUUAACAUUCAGAACUGGUGUUUUUUCAUCAUGUAUCAGGCACCAAAUUUUGCUUAGUACAAAACCAUAAACCUACUACACAUUGAUUACAAGUGUUAUAAUACCACCCAUUCGGUGCUUCCACAUUAACAAUGUCACGACCCGGAACUCCCAUCGGGCCCGUGACAAUAGCCGCGACGUCUCGAUAGGCACUCGUUACCCCGAAUGCCGAUCGAAACCUCGCAAGGUUUAACAUCAGCUUCCGCAUCUCCCCGGUGAGCGAUAGUUAUUAAAUCUCGCAUUUCAAGAAAUCAUAAGCCGUUUCCAAAUCAAAAUAAUAAAAUAUUAUUUUUUAGCUCACAAUGGCAUUUUUGUCAUUUUUCUUCAAAAAUAUCGAAACUCGCCAAAAACAUGGUGUAAAAGAUAAAAAUAUUCAUACGUACUUUAAAUCAGAUAAUUGAAGUAUAAAAUUACUUUUACAGUGACACAUGGGCCCCCAACUGACCAAGAAGGUAUAGGGCUACGAACCCUUACUUUCUAAGAUGAAACUCCGAGAUUAAUUCUCGUCUUAAUCAACUAUCAACAAACUUUCAUGAGCCUAAAAAAUAGAUAAGAAGAGGGGUGAGAUUAUGAUUACAUAAUCCUAGUGAGUAAACAGAUACCAUCUAAACUAUCUAAAGGCAAGUAAAGGGAGACAAUUAAAAAUAGUUCAUUUCAGUAAAUUUUUCACAACACGUAUAUUCAUUUCAACCAAAUAAUCAAUACGGCUCGUGAAUUUCUCAAAACUUGGCUCCUACCAAAAUCAUUCUCGCUGGUACCUUCGUCAAGGUAUCCCAUUGAGACCGUCAAGGCUGUUAAAUGUCUCAUACCCAUAAACAUGUUUUCGCAUAUGAUACACAGCCGUUCCUUGACGUUGGCUGAGUCUCACUCUCACGCGGUGGUUAACGUGAAGUGCACUCAAAAAGCCCACCUCAAGAUAUACCCUACGCGCCUCUACAACCGAAGUGAUAAUAUAAAGGGAUUUACCGUGCCCCUAUAAUAGACUGAUCCACGGAACCCCCCACCACUGCAGUAGCUAAUCUUUAAUCCACCAAUUGAUUAAAUCUCAAUUGCAUAACAUGGCAAUUACAUUACUAACCAAUUUAUCAAGGCAAAACAGACAGUUCAUAUUUUUCAACACAAGCAUAAAUUCAGCCAAUCAUGCCAAUUUAUCUCAAGGCAUUUAAUUCAAAUCAUAAUUUUACAACACAAGUAGGCAGUUUCCAAUUACUCUAUUUGCAAAACCAGUAUUCGAUUUUCCAAAAAAUUUAUAAAAUCAUUUUAUAAAAUCACAAUUUCUCCUAAAACAUAGCAAUUUACCAUUUAAACUCAUUUUUCAUAAAAUCACAUAGUUGUAUAAAACUACUCUAGAUAACUAAGACGAUAACAAGCUCACUCACAAUUCUAGGAGUAGAAAUACUCUUAUUUUUAGUCCGCGGGUACAGUCCUUUACCCGUAUCCAAUGACUCACCACCUCGUCAUAAUCUAUGACACAUAUUCUAAUUAAAUUGUGUCUAACAGUCGUAAGCUAUUUCAGGCUCGAUAUAUAUAUGCAUGAUAUGAAAUGAAAAAUGUCGGGUAGUCAUCUAGACUCGGUAUUGGCCUAAGUCGAUUUUUCAUCCGAUAAAUUGGUCAAUGCGUCCAAUUUCACUCCAACUUCCUCCAUUUCUUUUUCAAUUCCUCAAUUCACCAAGCACAACUAAUUAACACAUAAUUAGGCAAAUUUAUCUUCACUUUUCUUCUUGGAACUUUCGGCCAACAAUGGUACACUAACUCUGUGAUUUCUUCUACUUAAUUUUCUCUCCAUAAUUCAUUAAUUCCUACACCAAAAACUAUUAUUUCUUAAUCAAAUCACCUAGAAUAACAUCCCAUUCUUCUUCAUUAUUCACUUAGAGAAUUCAGCUAUUGAUGGGUUCCCAACCUUUGGUGGUUUUCUUCACUUGUUUUCAUACUACACAUCAAUAAUCACCUAAAAACACUAACAUACCUAAAAAUCAAACCAAUCCAAGAUCAUUCUCUCUCCAUACCCAUUUUGACCAGCCAUGAAUUCAUUAUGAAAACAUGUAAUUUAACCAUGGAAAUUAAGGGAAAAUGCAUGGGUAAGGUAAAUCACUAGCAAAAUCAAAGAAAUUUUACCUUUGCUUGAUCAAAUCCUUGAAUUCUAACACUUUCUCUUUGAUUUUUCCCACCUAGGGUUUGUUCUUCCUUGGUUUCUCUUCUCUUCUGGUUUGGCUGAUCAUUAUGGGAGAAAUGGGCUGAUUUUUUGCCUUUUUAUAAAGAAAUAAACACAUGACACAUGGCAUUUCCUUAUUGGUUCAAAUUUUAAAUAUUUGACUUUUAAUUCUUUAAUUCUCCACCACACAUUUCUCAUGUUUAUCCAUUUCCAUGAUGAAUAAAAUCCCUUGGUCAUGAUAAGUGUCGGGGGUGAAAAUUUACCGAAUUGCCUCCGGGAUGGCAAAAUUACCAUUUCGCCCCUAUACUCCAAAUUAUAUCGAAAUUAAAAUUUUUCACUUUUAAACCUCAAAUCAUACUCCAAUACUCAAAUCAUACUCCAAUAAGUCAAAUGAGGACAAAAAAUCUUUUCUAAAAAUUCUUAUUUUGUCCCCAAGUGGCAAAUGAUCAUUUUGCCCCUAGAUAGUGAAAAUUUCGGUUUGACUCUAAAUUGAUCCUCGAACUCCGAAUUACCAUUUUGAGUCAUCCAUGAACUGUGAAACUCUUAAUUUCACCUUAAAAUUCCUAUUUGAAUUAGUUCGAGGCUUAAUCGACUUAAUGGUACCAUUAGGGGCAAUAUCGUCUUUUAACGAUUCCUCGAAUUUCCUAAAUAUGCAAACAUUCUAUUGAGUAUGUAAAUGACGUCGUAAUUAUUUUAUAGAACAGGGUUUGACAAACAAUGUUUGCAGUGACCUCGAACUUUGUAUUCUGUGAGUUAGAAAAACAAUCUUCUGUGCAUGUAAAUAAAAGUUGGCUUUUUUGUUUGUCAAGCAUAUAAAACUAGUAAUUCUUACUCAUCUAAUAGAAAAGUCUAAAACUAAUAUUUUAGCAUUAUCUUCUUCGGUUCCAUUGCUAACAAGUUAGCUAAUCAAAUCUUUGAUUUGAUUUAUCUGUACAAUAUACAAUACAUGUUAAUUACAAUAAAGAAGGAUUUACAGUAAAUUGAUUAACAGUUAUCUAUUAAAUGUACAACUCGAGAAAUAAAUUUUCUUGCACACAAACUUAACUGUACAAAGCCAUCCUACUUCCACAUAUAAUAUAGAUAUAUAUAUGUUUAUUGUAUACGAUCUAAACCUAACUUAAACUGUAUAUCACUAUUGACUUAUUUUUAUUACGUAAACAAAACGUGUGUAAAUAAAAUAACCUAAUUUUUACUUCACAAAAAUGCACAGUAAUAAACUACAAAAUCAUUGUUAUCAUGUAAACAAAACUUAAUGUGUGUACUUGUAUGCAAAAAAUAUCAACAACAAACUACAAAUCAACUACAAUAAUACAAAGUAUAUCUGGCAUAAAACUAACUUUGUAUGGAACUAAUACUAUAAAAAAUAUAUUAUAACUUCUUCUGUGUGGAAACAAUAUUACUAAUACAAGAAAUAAUGAACAAAAAUUAUGAUAAAACAAUUUGUACGAAAGUAACAAAACAAUAACACAAUAAAAAAAGUAAGCUACAUUAUUGGAAAAACACAACAGAUGAAAAAAAAUAAAAAUACAAUAAAAAAAUAUUUUAAACUUACUUCUCAGAAAUUUUAUUUGAUAGUAACUGGUUAAUUAUGUGAGUGAUAUCUUUCAAGGAUAGCUCUAACAAACCACUACAAUAAAACCUACAUCAAAAUCAACUAACAACAAUUUCAACACCUUUACAACAACUCCAACAGUGAAACAUAAUAUUUAAAAAAAUACUAUUAAGUCACACUUAGCAUUAAGAUCUUCAUGCACAACAAACAAUUAUCCCAAAUGUAAUAUUAUAAAAUUUUAUCAAUAAUUAACCUAAAUAAGACAAACAAUACAAUCUAACGUUUAGAAAUUUCACACCCAGAAAAUCUACUAAUAAAUAUUUCAACACCUUUACAACAACUUAAUCCAUGAGAAUAGAACAUGCAAAUAACAAAUAUUAAACAACAGUUAAUAUUCAAAUGUCCUAUUAUAGAAAUUUAUGACUAAAAAACUAAUAUUAAACAUACAAUAGAAUGAAACAAUUAGAAAGAAUCCACAUUCAUUGUUAAAAGUAAAGAAACAAAUUUAUUAUCACUUGAAAAGCUAUAAUAGUAAAAAAAAAACAAUUCCAAUAAUUUUGCGAAUGUCUCUAGAUUCUCUAGAUUACAACUUGUAAACUUGAAAGUUUCAUAAGAAAAUAAUAGCAAAACACAAACCAGUAUCCAACCACCAAACAACAAAAUCAACUAUUGAUAAUGAAGAAUACAAAACAACAAUAAGACAAAAAUAGAACCUUUUCAAUUGAUCAGGAAAAAAAGACGAACAGCAUAAAAAAGACAAAGAAAAACCACUGAAGAGUAUUUCAAAAGCUAAACGUUCCUACUUUUUCUGGUUUAUAUAGAAAAACAAUAUAACCAAGCGGAUAUGAAGGGAAAAGCAUGGAAGAUGAAUGCAAGCAACUAGAUAUACUGCCAAAAACCCGAAUAACCGAACAAUAACUUUACUUGCAUCGAUAUACAAAUCAAAGAGAAAAUCAAUCGAACAGAUAAUUGACAUGACCACAAAAUAGUAAUCCAUUCAUCUAGAAACAAACGACACAUUUAUAUAUUUUUUUUUUCCUUUUCUCUUUCCAUUCCUCAAAACAACACAAUUUAAAACCAAAACCAAACCGUAACAACCAAACCCUACAAAUCUUUUUCUCUUACCAACCAUAGCCUAACCCUUUUUCCAACCUUCAGGGAAAAAAAACGAUCAUCCCACUCUUUCUGUGCGAAAACUAAUAGCCAUCACCUUAAUACUUCUUAGAAAAUAUAUCAUGCUAAAUACCUUCACUCUCUUCCUUUCCUUUCUCGUUUGCAUAAAAACAACUAAUAAACCCGAAAACCCUAAAUUGAACAUUCAUAUAGCUUUCCCUUCGAAUCUCUCUAUAAAACUCCAAAAAUGAUAAAUCGAUGACCCCUUAAACCGGUUAAAUCAUAAAAAAAAGAAACCAAAACAAUAGAAAGAAAACAAAGCAAAAUUGCACCGAAGCACAAAACCCCCACAAGGAAAAAAUAUUAAACCAAAGAAACCCUAAUAGACAAAAAAUUGAAAAUUAAAACUUAACAACAAACCCUUAAAUCGACAGAACCCAAGAAAGAAGAAAUCAAAAUGAUAGCAAGAAAUCAUAGUAAAAUUAAAUCCUAAAUCCAUCAAUGCUAAAAUUGAAAGUAGAUUACAUCGCAUAGAGGUGGCAUGAAACACAUCAUGUAGGAGCCAUUUACACCCAUUGUGCAUUGUGAGUUGGUAGAUUCCAACUCCUAAGACCUCCUUAUCUACUCUGUUCCUCAUCAUGACAAAGUGUUUACCUGUUGGUAAACAAUAAUAACCUACAUAUCUUGUACGAUUGCUGGUUAUGUGCUUGGUUGCUACUAUAUCUACAAUCCAACCAAGGAGAGAAUAAGCUAUAAACACAUGAAAACAUACAUAAGUUCUAAAGGGGUUUAGAGGAUGAACUUUCUUAGGUUCAAUGUAUUCCUAAGCAAAAUGUCAUUUCGUACUAUAGUUAAAGCAUUUCAACUUGGACUUAUCCUUUUUCGUACCAUGAUUGCCUCUCUAGCGCUUGAUGACUUACUCAUUAUGGGGUCUUAGAUUUCUAAUCUUUUUUUUUUGUUGUCUCUUUUGUUAAGGAACCUAUCCUUUGCAAUUUCCAACUUAAGCUAUCAUGGCAGUAUUGUGGAUAACUUCUCUACACUUUACCUCAAGCUCUAGAUAGCAAGAAAUGUCAUCAAAAGUCUUUAUCCCUUCAUUGUGUGUCAAUACAAGUUUGACAUGUCCCCAUGAAGACUUAAAGAGUAAUUCGAUGAUAGCGAAGACCUGUUAUUCAUCUAUGAGAUCAUAACCAACUGCUUUUAUCUCUCUUAUUAUGGCUAACAUGGCCCUUAGGUGCUCAGCUAUGGUGUGCUUGGAGUCCAUCAUAUAUUGAUUGAACCUAAUUGUCAAGGCAUGAAGCUUCGUAACUGUGGUUCCACCAUACUUGAAUUUCAAUUGUUCCCACAACUAUUUGGCAGUUGGAAAAUUCUCAAACUUCCCAAUAAGAUCAUCGUCCAUGUAGCUUAUUACGGUAAAACACGCACUACAAUCUGUCUUAUACCAAGUGUCAUAGGCCUCUUAGUUACAACGAUGCUGGGUGGUGUUUCCAACUUCAAGUAGGUUCAUCUCUUUGGUAAGAUGAUCAAGCAACUCUUACUCAUUGAGAACAUAUUGAACAUUUUUAUGCCAAAUAUUGUAGUUUUGCCAUCAAGUUUGGCACCUUUGAUCAAAUCUGCAAUAAUUUGUUUUAAAACCAUAUCACUACAUCAUUGCAUAGGAUUUAAUUAGGCACUUAUCUAAUUUUCUAAUCAAUUAAAAUUAGACAUAUUUAAUUUUUACCUAUAUUACUAGUUCAAAAAUUUCGCAUGCAUGCUAGUAAUCAUCACCAAUGAUAUAAGCAUGCAAUUAAAAUAUCUAAUCCAAUUUAACUUUGGAUUAUGGAAACAACUCCUAUUAUCUUUGAGCAUAAGAACAAUUUUCACUUGCCACAUACAACAUAACAUAAUAAAUUGAGUUCUAAUAAAGAACUCUAUUGAUAUUUUUAAGUGCCCAUACCCAAAAUAAUAUUAUUCGUAAAGUAAGCACGAAAUUACAUUGCUUUACAUGAUCUCUAUAAAUAAUUAAUAUAGCCCAAAAUAAGUUACAUCAUAAGAAACCUAUUACAUCAAUCUACAAAAAUAAAGAUGUCGUACUUGUUUAUACGUAUUUAUAUUAAAAUAUUAAUAAUUAACAAAUAAUUAAUAAAUAAUUAAAAUAAUCACAAAAUGGGCAUUUAUAAAGUAUCAAUUUUACCAUAUAGUUUUACUUAACAAAUAAGUAAAAUAAUCACAUUAUGCAUUUUAUAAAUUUUACCUGACAAAUAAGUAAAAUAUUGUAAUCAUAUAAAAUAUUCUCAAAUGGCACAUAAGAGACAUAGCAUUUUACAACAUAUGUAAAUUAAUUUAACAUGCAUUUGCUAUUUUCACUCAAAUCAUAUAUGUUUUAAAAAACCAAUUUCUAAGAUAUAACACAAAAGCCAAAAGGUGGUUAAUUAACAAAUUAAUUAACUAUAUUUAUAAUACAUGUGAAUUUAAUUAACUAACAUGCCAAGAACAUAAAUAAUAUUCUAGAAAAAAAAAUAGGUCAACUUGUAAUUACCAAAAAUUUUAAGGUCAUUUUUUAAAAAUAAACAUUCUUAGGGCAAAAAUAUAAUUCUAGAAAAUAUAUCCAUUGAAGCCAUAUGGCUGCCACAUCAGGCACUUCAUGACUGUGUCCAAACUUUUUUGGUCUUUACUACCUACUGCACUUUGAACUUAAAAAUGCUUCUUUAGUGUAGUGGUUGAAGGGCUCAUUUUGAGUCUUAAUGACUUUGCUAGUGUAGAUUCGAUUCCUAUAUAUAUAUAUAUAUUUAAUGCACGAAGUAAAAAGAUGAAAGUACUAUUGGGAGGUGGACCUACCUUUUCAGAUAAAUUUUUCACUCCCUUCCUAAUCGAAGAAGUUUGCUUUACAAAUCCUUUUUCAUGUACACAACGAUUUCUUUGUUCUCGUUGUUAUGGAGCAGCUCCUAGAGUCCUUGUUGUCGUUGUUAUGAAGUAGCUAUUAGAGUCCUCCAUGAGGAAUUACACAUUCUAAAACCCUCUGACUUUGAUGGUGUCUUAAGAAUAAAGAAAAUGAGAAAAAGUGUUUUGGUUUUUUCUGACUUACAGAACAACUCACGUUCACUUUUGGUUGUGCGUGAAAAUCAAUACCUUUGUUCAUUAUUUAUAGAGGUGUUAGGGAUAUAGUGUAAGGAUAUCUCUUUUAAAUUUAAACAAAUUAAAUUUAAAUGUAAUUAAUCCUUAUUUAAAUUUAAACAAAUUAAAUUGAAAUUUAUAUCCUAUCAUAAAUGUUUUUCAAUUAUUCAAUUAAAAAAUAUCAUAACAAUAUCCAACAUUAAUUAAUUAACUAAAUAUUUAUUAAUUAUUCACAAAUAAUCAACAUAGUUACAUGUCUUGUGGACAGGGGCGAAGGGUAAGCCAACAAUGGGGGGGGCCAAAAUUUUUAAAAAUAUUUAUUUUUUAUAUAUAUUUUAUCAAUGGUCCCCCUAAAAUUUUUGAAAAUUUUUAUUUAUUAUAUAUUAUUAAUGGCCCACUCAAAAUAUUUUUUUUUAAUAAUUAAUAUAAAUAAAUUUAUAUUAACUUAACUUUACCCUAAUUUAAGUUUCUCGACACUUCUUUCUCUUUUUCUUUUUCUCUUCUCUUUUGUGUCUUUUUAUUUUUAUUUCUCUUUUCUUGUAACUCACCAUUAAAACACACCUUAUUCUUCAAAAGAGAUUUAUGAGCUUGUGAGUUUGGACAAGGAAAGACAGAGAUCAUCCACCACUAUUGUGUAAAAUUAAGAAGAGGUAAAGUUUUCUUUUACCUUCUUCUUUCUAUAUAUAUUAUUUAACUAUUAUAUGAAAUCUUGUAUUUUGUAUUUAAUUAUUUAUAUUUUAUUCAUUAUAGUUUUAUGUUUUAUUUUUUAAGUUUAAAUAUAAAUAAAUAAAAAUAUUGAAUGUUGACUAAAUUAUUUUUUUUUCAGGUUUGAUUAAAAUAUGAGUAAGUUGAAAACAAUUGACAAAUUUUUUAAAAGAAAAGAGGUAGAUCGCUCAAAUGAUUCUCCUACACUUGAGCCACCAAAUCUUAAUACUUCAACUUAUGAACAAGAGCAGUACGAAUCAAAACAUUCAAGGCUCAAUCCUGAAGAAAUCGAUGCUUUUCAUAUAGAACCUGACCUUAGAUUACGACCAAUGCUAUGGGAAUUUCCUAUCAAUCAAAGGGAUGAAAUUCGUCGUGCUUAUCUCAAACGUGGGCCAUGUAAACCCAUUCUUAAGACGUAUCCUCUAUCAGAUGAUGAUCAUCCUCGUUGUUUUCAAGCUUCUUGGUUUGAAUUAUAUCCUUCUUGGUUAGAGUAUUCUUGUGACAAAGAUACUAUAUUUUGUUUUCCAUGCUACCUUUUUGGUAAGAACACCUCAAAUCGUCUAGGUUUAAAUGCAUUUAUUGAAAAAGGUUUCAGAAGUUGGAAGAAAGUAAAUAGUGGAGAAAAUUGUCCACUUUUGAAUCAUGUUGGGAAAAAUCCAAGUUCCCCACAUAAUAUUGCUAUAAAAUCUUGUGAGGAUUUAUUGAAAAAAUCCCAACAUAUUGAUAGGCUUAUCAAAAGACAAGCAUCAAAAGAGAUCUUGAAUAAUCGACUUAGGCUCAAAGCUUUUAUAGAUUGUGUUAGAUGGUUAACCUUUCAAGCUUGUGCAUGUAGAGGUCAUGAUGAAAGUCCAUCCUCAAAAAAUAGAAGAAAUUUCAUUGAAAUGCUGAAAUUCUUAGGAUCUUACAAUGACAAAGUUCAUAAGCUUGUCUUGGAAAAUGCUCCAUGUGUUGCUAAGUACACAUCCAAUGAUGUUCAAAAGGAGAUUUUGUAUAUUUUGGCUGAUAUGGUGAGAAAUUCAAUUAGAGAGGAAAUGGGAAAUGCUAAGUUUUGUAUUAUUUGUCACGACCCAGAACUCCCAUCGAGCCAGUGACAACCGCCGUGACGUCCCGAUAGGCACUCAUUACCCCGAAUGCCGAUCGAAACCCCGCAAGGCUUAGCAUCAGCUUCUGCAUCUCCCCAGUGAGCGACAGUUAUUAAAUCUCACAUUUCAAAAAAAAUCAUAAGUCAUUUCCAAAUCAAAACAAUAAAAUAUUACUUUCUGGCUCACAAGGGCAUUUUCGUCAUUUUUCUUCGAAAAUACCGAAACUCGCCAAAAACAUGGUGUAAAAGCUAAAUAUAUUCAUACAUAUUUUAAAUUAAAUAACUGAAGAAUAAAAUUUCUUUUACAAUGACACGUGAGCCCCCAACUGACUAAGAAGAUGUAGGGCUACGAACCCUUACUUUCUAAGAUGAAACUUCGAGAUUAAUUCUCGUCUUAAUCAACUAUCAACAAAUUGUCUUGAGCCUGAAAAAUGGAUAGGAAGAAGGGGUGAGAUUAUAAAAUCUCAGUGAGUAGACAGACAUCAUCAAAAUAAUCUAAAGCCGAGUAAUAAGAGACAAUUAAAAUAAUUCAUCCCAACCCAUAUAAAUAAUUGGAUUUCAUCCAAUUACUCAACAUGGCUUAUGCACUUUUCAAAAACUUGGCCCUUACCAAAAAUCCAUUCUCGGGGAUACCCCGUGAAGGCAUCUUACCGAGACCGCCAAGGAUGUUUAUUGUCACACACACAAACACAUUUCACCUCUGAUAACACAGCCGUUCCUCGGCGUUGGCUGAGUCCUAGUUUCACGUGGUGGCCAGCGUGAAGUGUACUCAAAUCCUACCUCGAGAGUUAUCCUACGCGCCUCUCCAAUCGAGUUAAGCCCAAUAAUUAGGAACCGUGCCCCUCUAAUUAGACUGGCCCACGGAACCCCCGUCACUGCAGUGCCCACUUUAUAAACCACCAACCAAUAAAAUCACAAUAGUAUGACAUGGCUCACUUAACACAUUCAAGGCAAAUCAAAGCAGUUC
rnacentral:lncRNA from 1 species